UACGGGGGGGGCAAGCGUUGUUCGGAAUUACUGGGCGUAAAGGGCUCGUAGGCGGCCAACUAAGUCAGACGUGAAAUCCCUCGGCUUAACCGGGGAACUGCGUCUGAUACUGGAUGGCUUGAAUCCGGGAGAGGGAUGUGGAAUUCCAGGUGUAGCGGUGAAAUGCGUAGAUAUCUGGAGGAACACCGGUGGCGAAGGCGGCAUCCUGGACCGGUAUUGACGCUGAGGAGCGAAAGCCAGGGGAGCAAACGGG
rnacentral:rRNA from 1 species